rnacentral:snRNA from 1 species
GGAUGUGAGGAUGAUCUGGCUGUGACAUCUGUCACCCCAUUGAUUGCCGGGGCUGAUUGGGCUGAUCUGGCUGGCUAGGCUGUGUCCACUUCCUCCUUCAUCGCUGGGUACUCCGUGUGCAUAGCUCCUGAAGCUGCGCUCUCUGUCCAACAGGACGACCACCCCUGGUAGAGGAAGACAGUUUCUCAGCGAAGGGUGUAUGAGUAGCUGUGCUUCCCUGCUAGAAACUCCAACCAAGAUCUCAAUUUUAUUUGCUACCGGAUAAUUGUUGAAAAUAUCUAAUAUCCUAAUAUGUAUAACUCCGACAUUUAUGAAAAGUUUUAUUG